rnacentral:rRNA from 1 species
UACGGAGGGGGCAAACGUUGUUCGGAAUUACUGGGCGUAAAGGGUGCGUAGGCGGUUCGUUUAGUCUUGCGUGAAAUCUCUCGGCUUACCCGGGAAACUGCGCUGGAUACUGUCGAGCUCGAGGAUGGGAGAGGCAGAUGGAAUUCCUGGUGUAGCGGUGGAAUGCGUAGAUAUCAGGAAGAACACUCAUGGCGAAGGCAGUCUGCUGGCCCACACCUGACGCUGAGGAACGAAAGCCAGGGGAGCAAACGGG